GACGAACGCUGGCGGCGUGCUUAACACAUGCAAGUCGAACGCAGUGGCGAACGGGUGAGUAACGCGUAAUCAACCUGCCCUUCAGAGGGGGACAACAGUAGGAAACGACGGCUAAUACCCCAUACUGACGGAGGGGACUGCGUCUGAUUAGCUAGUUGGAGGGGUAACGGCCCACCAAGGCGAAGAUCAGUAACCGGACUGGAAGGAUGAACGGGCACAUGUGGACUGAGAAACGGCCCAGACUCCUGCGGGAGGCAGCAGUGAGGAAUCUUCCGCAAUGGACGAAAGUCUGAACGAGGAACGCCGCGGGAAUGAUGAAGGGCUUUGGGUUGUAAAGCUCUGUUAAUCGGGACGCGGUACCGGAAGAGAAAGCCACGGCUAACUACGUGCCAGCAGCCGCGGUAAUUC
rnacentral:rRNA from 1 species